GAAAACUUUAAGAUCUAAUCCAGAGUACCACGAGACACGUGAAACCUUGUGGGAAGCAGGGAGGACCACCUCCCAAGGCUAAAUACUACCUAGUGACCGAUAGUGAAGCAGUACCGUGAGGGAAAGGGGAAAAGAACCCCGGAAGGGGAGUGAAAUAGAACCUGAAACCGUGUGCCUACAACCGAUCGGAGCACGUUAAAGUGUGACGAUGUGCUUUUUGUAGAACGAGCCAGCGAGUUAC
rnacentral:rRNA from 1 species